AUAAGAACUAAGAAGCAGCAGAUAAUAAGCCAAUAAUCGUGCAAGUAGUUCUUCGCGAGUGCAUCUCCAUGAGAUUUAGUUGUGUACAUUCCCAGUUCAAUGCCAGUGGCUCUUCCUUGUUUGAACAAAUAAGACGGAUCACUUUCAUACAUAACUGCAUUGUUAAAGACACAAUAUUUAAUUUGCAGAAAUUGGCUAAAAGAUAUUUCCAAAACUAUAUCAACAAAUGAAGGGAAAAAAAAAAGUGUGCUACAAUGAUUUCAGUAUUUAACCAGAUUACAAUUGACAAUAUAGCACACAAAAAAUUUAAUCAAACCUCAGAAUCUCGAAGCAGACCAAGGAACUACUUCGGCCUAAUUUUACACAAAUAUCCUAAUUGUCUCAUUCUCUUCCUUUAACUGCUAAACAUAAUUUUCUGAAAUUGACUUCACAAAACUAAUUAAUUAUUGGGGUUUCAUAAUAUGAUCUGAAUAAGCAAACCGACCCUGGAAUGGAUAAGUAAGCUUCUACCCGCAGACUGGAUCAAAGGCCCGCAGUUUCGUUAUGACAAUUACAUUGAAGGACUUCACAACCAAAUGCCAGUGCAACAAGGGUUAUAUUUUCAAAACCCUUGCACUAAUUGUGUUCGCACUUUUGCUAUGGCUAGAUGUGAUUAUUUGUGAGUAAUAAGUUAUGUGGCCGGUAAAGUCUUUUAACGAUGAUUCUAUAGUCUCGCCCUUUGUAAUAACUUUAUAUCUCGUUCUUCAGCGAUGACCGAUGUGUUCGCUGGUAUAAGUUUAUGGCGUCUACCAUUUGUGACGGAAUCUAAACUGGUGGCGAUGGUACGGAUGUGUUUCUGGUAGUCAUAUAAGGGUUUUACUGACACGUCCCGACCCUGAUAUUCCCCAAAUACCAAGAUAGACAUGUGCUAGCCGACACUCGAGGGGGACGAAAGCCAUUAAUUGAUACAAAAGCUAAGGAUAAGAAGUAAAUAAGGAUUAUGAAUUUAAAAUACAAUAAAUUAAUAAUUUAGGAACGUGUUUAGAGUAUACAACUAACUAAAGUUCUAAAAGAAUUAAUGUAAAAUUGAAUAAAUAAAAGAAUGUGGGUCCUACAUCGAGAGGACUCGAAUAUGCCAAUGCAAAAGCGUUGACGUCGGGAUCGUAUGCCUUGAUUCUAAAUCCUGAAAGGGGACGCAAAACAAGGGUGAGUGGACCAAGUUUAUAUACAUACAUAAUACAAAAACAGUUAUAAACAUACUAACCCCUAAAGUUUUAAUAAUGAAAACUACUAGCAUAAUAAAUGAUAGGUUUCUCUGAAAACCCUAGCAUGCUAUGAACAUCUCAAAAGACAUAUUGUGGAAAACAUCGCAGAAAUCAAAGCAUCAAUAGUCUCACAAAUCGUCUCGUAAGCGCGGUGUUCUGCUAGUAGGAUCACUAAAUAAUAAUACUCCCGACAAUGCCUGCACCUAAGUCUCUGUGUCCGUAGCCAGAGAUAACUCCCUUCCGGCCCAAUGCCUGUCUCCGUGUCCCUCAGCCUUUCACUAGGGAUUAUUUCUCCCGGCCUAACUGCCAACACUAGAUCCUCGCCCCAAGCAGCAUAGUGUCCACUAGUUACGCACAAAUAGUUACACCUCUCAAAAUAAUCACUUCAUAGUAUAAAGUCAUCCAUUGUUUAUACUAUAAAAAGGGGUUUCUAAAACAUGUUCUAGCAUCCUAUCGUCAUCCAUCAGAUAGUCUACCAGUUCAUGGUUUUUAUAGAAAAUACGAUAUAUCAAACUAUAGCUCAAUAUAGGCUAACAAUUAAUUCCUCACCAAAAACACGAGACGAAAAUUAACAUAUUCAAUAAACAUGCUAAACAUAAAAUUAAAUCAUAAACUCGUAAGACAUGCUAUUCAUUUAUGCAAUUAAACCAUAAAUUCAUAUAAUUUUAGAAGGGGUCCACUCACUGUACUUAGCCGCCAAAAACUACGCUACUAGCGAUGACAGAAAUAUCACAACAAUUGCCCCUAAGCACAAAAAUAGCACACUUAGUCAAACUCUACUCAAAUGAUUUAAUUUAGGAAAACGGACUUCUAAAAUGGGUCCAGGACAUCGAAAUUAGCCUAGGAGAGGUCCCGGACGAAACCCCUAAAAGUCAACUUUAACCAUUGACCGAGUCAACAGUCAAAGGUCAAUUGGGUCUAGACUGAGGGUUUGGAUCAGAAUUAGGGUUUAGAUUUAGGUUAAAUAAGGUUAGGACCUAUUGGGUUUUGGUUUUGGAUAGGUUUAGGGACAAAAAUUGUGGUUUGGGCGUGAGCCCAAACCCACUAAAUAUUCACACACACAUCAGCACACAUAUACACCUGCAUGCACAGCACAUUUACACAUGCACACACGCCACACGUGUGUAACACACACACACACACGGCGCACACGCACACUCUCCUGUGCACGGCCCGCAGGCCUAACAGCCGAAAAGGAUGGGCUUAAGCCCUCUGUAAUUAACAAAGGUCCAAGGCCCCGUGGGCCUUUAAAACAAAAAUUAAAAUAAAACUAAAAUGGUUUGGGUUGGGUCUACGGGCCCAAGGCCCGUGGGUGUCCUAAACGGCCUGAAAGGCCUGCGUGCUGACGGAAAUAAUGGAGAAGAACGCCGGAGCCUUCCCAGCUCCGGCCGACUGCAAACCACGACCCUAGACUCUGUUCUAGGUACCAAAAUGACGCACAAAGUGAGAGGAGUGUGAUUAUACCUUUGAUUUUCCGUAGAACGGUCGAAGGUGACCGGAAAACCAUUCGACAGCCACGGGCUCGCCGGAGAUGGGUUUGGCACACCCGAGCCGAUUUCCUUCAAAAACCUUGUAAAAACGACGAUUUAAAGCUUAAUAUAUCUCAACCACGCAACAACCAAGACUAAUUUGACCGGAAAACCAAGGGAACUCGCAAGAGAGUUCCUGGGUUCCACAGUCCCAGCUGCGCCGAGAGAGAAAGGGAGAGGAAGACUAGGUUUGAUGAUUAUUAUUGUCUUCCUUGUGCAGGUAAGCAAUUAGGUGUGUGCAUGCGUGUGUAUGUGCGUCUCGGUGAAAGAGGGAAAUAAGAGAGAGAAGGGAGAGAAACAGAAACAGAAAGGAGUCACGCGGGGGAGGGGAAACAGAGAGAGAUGAUGUUUGUUGGGGUGCUGCCACGUGGCAUUUCCAUUGGGUAAAAGAGAAAUGGACUAAAUUGAUAAUUUCAUAAACCUUUUGGGGAAUAAAAAAAUUAUACACAUAAUUGGGGGUUGGGGUGUUACAUUUACUCAUUUUGUGUGUCCCUGCAAAUUUAUUCGCGAUCAAUUUUCUUAUCACUGAAGCCAAUUAACACCUCUGUAUUUAUAUGUGUUGACCAAUAAAAUGCUACUCUUAUCUUUUCUUGUAAAAAAAUAAAAUAAAAGGUUUAGAAAAAAGGGUAUAGGAUAAUUUGGAAAUUUGAGAUGGAGUUCUACAAUUUUCGUCUAAAUUUACCAUAUCAAGAUAUGAAAAGAAGAAAGCGUCUGCCUGGUUAAGUUUUAGAAAAUGAUUUUUGAAGCACUGUUGCAAUUUGCAAAAAGGAAACGACAAAUAAGAAUUUUCAUUUUUAAGAUGUGAGAAUGUUAUAGUUGUUUAAUUCGGUAUGAUUUUUUUAGAAAGAAAAUAUUAAAAACGUGUCAGGUGCCAAUGUUUAAAAUGCUAAAGAAAUAUACAUCGCAAAUUCGUUAUUGGUAGUUAUAUUUUUGUAAUAUAAAUUCAAAGCAUUGAUUGGGGGAUACUGACAUCGACUGGAGGCUAGAUCAUGGUCGGAGGGGCUAGCGAGCAUGGUGAGUGCCUGCGCGGUGAAGGGAUUAAGCCAAGUAGAGGAGGGGUUUAAGGUUGAGGGUUGCGGGCGUUGCGACAAGAUGGUAUUGACGCAACGGUAGUUGGGGGUGGUGACAGUGUUAAGAGCAAUUCCACCCAUGGAGCCCUUCUCCCUGGCAAUCCACUAUUCAAUCCACCCUAUUAAACAGUAACUGCCUUAAAUGAAUAGUAACUACCAUUAAUGAACAGUAAUUACCAUUUACAUCUCCACCCUUGGAACCCUCCCCCUGGCAAUAAGCAAUUAAAAUAAUAGUUUUUUUUGUUUGUUUAAAUAAUAAAAAACCCUCCUCUCUCUCUCUCUGUGUCUCUCUGACACAAAAAAUAAAUAAACAAUUACAAAGCCCUCGGGCCACAGGCCCGUCG
rnacentral:lncRNA from 1 species